GUCUAGGACAGUGGCUGGCACACGAGGGCCGUCGGUAAACUCUUGGAUGAACCAGGCUCAGAGACACACAGUGCUCAAGGUCACACAGCGAGUCAGUGAGGGAGGGGAUGUGAAACCAGGGCCAAGGCUGCAGCGGACAGCAAAUCCAAAGAAGUGUUCCACUCAAUUCUGCUGCACAGGGGACUAUGACACUGCAGUGAGAACGAAGAAACCGACUCCAUACGUGAGCAUGGAGGAGCAGCCCCAGCAUGGCAGUGAGCAGCACAAACCAGUCAUUGAAAGCAUCAUUGUGACACCAUUUAUUGAAAACGUACACACAUGCAGAAUAAUGCGUUAAGGAUUUAUACAUAUAGAGUAAAAGUAUAACAACAUGCAUGGGAAAAUGAAGUCCUGGCUACUUCUGGAGGCGGGCAAAGGGGACAACAAGGAAGAAGAGACAGAGUGCAGGGCGUGAGCCUGGAGGCUGGGAGGCCCAGGAGGAGGCUGGCACAAAGGAGAGGGGACAGGCCAUGCAGUCCAAGGCAUCUCCAGGCUGCUUCUCCACACCUGCCCAGUCUUUCCCGUUUCUGCUGAGAGGGGGAAGUGGUGUC
rnacentral:lncRNA from 1 species